GACGUAGGGCGCGAGCGUUGUCCGGAUUUAUUGGGCGUAAAGAGCUCGUAGGUGGUUUGUCGCGUUGUUCGUGAAAACUCACAGCUCAACUGUGGGCGUGCGGGCGAUACGGGCAGACUAGAGUACUGCAGGGGAGACUGGAAUUCCUGGUGUAGCGGUGAAAUGCGCAGAUAUCAGGAGGAACACCGGUGGCGAAGGCGGGUCUCUGGGCAACAACUGACGCUGAGACGCGAAAGCGUGGGGAGCAAACAGG
rnacentral:rRNA from 1 species